GCCGGCCUCCGCCCGCUGCCCCUGCCCCCGCCCUCCUCCUCAUCCAGCCCACCACGCCCCGAUUCCCGAUCUUACUCUCCUCCUCUUUUGCCCCCGCGACACCAGAUCUCGCUGCGAGGACCACAGCCUGACCGAGCGUUGCCCUAGGGCGGUGGCGGCGCGCGGCCCGACCGAAGCCAGCGCUCGUGCGGCUGAAGCCAUCGCGGACAACCCCGCCACCCUCCCCGCCACCGCUGCCUCCACCAUGGACGAUGCAGAGGAAGAAGACUAGGCGGUGUGCGGAGCAGAGAAGCAGGACGGCGACCUAGACCGACCUCUCAACCAUGGUCAGAAUGGUAAAGUGCUUCUUGAAGUCAUUUUUUCUGUUUCUCUGCUGUUUCUUGUCCAUGUAAAGAUCAAGGUCUUGCUUUCUGAACAGAUUGUACUGAACAAGGUACGGUGGUCGGAAGUCAUUCCAUGUAUGUUCAAAAUAACCCGGCCUACUGAUGAUUUUGAUAAUUUUAGCUUUGUUUCAAGUUCAAAAUGAUGAUUUAGAGGAUGUAGAACGCACGGCUUGGUAUGUCAUCUUGUUAGGCGACACGACAGAGUUAAUCAAAAUAGAUAGCUAUGGUCUGUUUCAAUAUUUGUUAAAGACAACUAUGCUCUAUUCAAGUAUUUGGAAAUGAUUAAUUGCAAUGAGAUGUUCUAAGUGCUUUUU